rnacentral:rRNA from 1 species
CAGUAGCCGCGGUAAUACGGAGGGUGCAAGCGUUAAUCGGAAUUACUGGGCGUAAAGCGCACGCAGGCGGUUUGUUAAGUCAGAUGUGAAAUCCCCGAGCUUAACUUGGGAACUGCAUUUGAAACUGGCAAGCUAGAGUCUUGUAGAGGGGGGUAGAAUUCCAGGUGUAGCGGUGAAAUGCGUAGAGAUCUGGAGGAAUACCGGUGGCGAAGGUGGCCCCCUGGACAAAGACUGACGCACAGGUGCGAAAGCGUGGGGAGCAAACAGGAUUAGAGACCCCUGUAGUCCCUGUCUCUUAUAC